GAUGAACGCUAGCUACAGGCUUAACACAUGCAAGUCGAGGGGCAGCAUGAACUUAGCUUGCUAAGUUUGAUGGCGACCGGCGCACGGGUGAGUAACACGUAUCCAACCUGCCGAUGACUCGGGGAUAGCCUUUCGAAAGAAAGAUUAAUACCCGAUGGCAUAGUUCUUCCGCAUGGUGGAACUAUUAAAGAAUUUCGGUCAUCGAUGGGGAUGCGUUCCAUUAGGUUGUUGGCGGGGUAACGGCCCACCAAGCCUUCGAUGGAUAGGGGUUCUGAGAGGAAGGUCCCCCACAUUGGAACUGAGACACGGUCCAAACUCCUACGGGAGGCAGCAGUGAGGAAUAUUGGUCAAUGGACGAGAGUCUGAACCAGCCAAGUAGCGUGAAGGAUGACUGCCCUAUGGGUUGUAAACUU
rnacentral:rRNA from 1 species